rnacentral:tRNA from 1 species
GCUGGCGUAGCUUAAUUAAAGCAUAACACUGAAGAUGUUAAAAUGGACCCUAAAAAGUUCCACCAGCA